rnacentral:rRNA from 1 species
AUGAACGCUGGCGGCGUGCCUAAUACCUGCAAGUCGAGCGAACGGACGAGAAGCUUGCUUCUCUGAUGUUAGCGGCGGACGGGUGAGUAACACGUGGAUAACCUACCUAUAAGACUGGGAUAACUUCGGGAAACCGGAGCUAAUACCGGAUAAUAUUUUGAACCGCAUGGUUCAAAAGUAAAAGACGGUCUUGCUGUCACUUAUAGAUGGAUCCGCGCUGCAUUAGCUAGUUGGUAAGGUAACGGCUUACCAAGGCAACGAUGCAUAGCCGACCUGAGAGGGUGAUCGGCCACACUGGAACUGAGACACGGUCCAGACUCCUACGGGAGGCAGCAGUAGGGAAUCUUCCGCAAUGGGCGAAAGCCUGACGGAGCAACGCCGCGUGAGUGAUGAAGGUCUUCGGAUCGUAAAACUCUGUUAUUAGGGAAGGACAUAUGUGUAAGUAACUGUGCACAUCUUGACGGUACCUAAUCAGAAAGCCACGGCUAACUACGUG